ACCUGAGUGGCUCAGCGGGUUGAGCGUCCGACUUCAGCUCAGGUCACAAUCUCACCAUUCAUGGGUUCGAGCCCCACGUCGGGUU
rnacentral:tRNA from 1 species